UUCAGCAAUGGAUCUCUAGGCUCUCACGUCGAUGAAGAACACAGUGAAAUGUGAUACGUAAUGUGAAUGCAUAAAUUCAGUGAAUCAUCGAAUCUUGAACGCACCCUUGCACCUUUUGGUUAUUCCGAAAGGUACACCUGUUUGAAUGUCAUGAAACCCCCCUCGGCUCUAAUGCUUUCUAAAAGGAUUAGAGACGGAUUCUGAGUGUUGGCGUGAAUACGCCUCGCUUUAAAUAUAUCAGCACUUUUGGAUGGUUUAGAAUUAGUUCAAAAGACGUACUUGAUGUUGUAUUUAUAUUUCAUUGAGGCAGUCUUUGGUCUUUAUGACUAUCCGCUAAUACGAAAACUUGAAGAAUAGCUUCCUAACCCUAUUAAAUUACCCUUUAGACUUCAAAUCAGGUGGGACUACCCGCUGAACUUAAGCAUAUCAAUAAGCGGAGGA
rnacentral:rRNA from 1 species